rnacentral:rRNA from 1 species
UUGGAGGGCAAGUCUGGUGCCAGCAGCCGCGGUAAUUCCAGCUCCAAUAGCGUAUAUUAAAGUUGUUGCAGUUAAAAAGCUCGUAGUUGAACUUCGGGACCAGUGGGUUGGUCGUGCCUCUGGUACGUACUGGCCUUACCGGUUCCUCCCUUCUGACGAACCACGAUGCCAUUAAUUUGGUGUUGUGGGGAAUCAGGACUGUUACUUUGAAAAAGUUAGAGUGUUAAAGCAGGC